AUACGGAGGGUGCGAGCGUUAAUCGGAAUUACUGGGCGUAAAGCGCGCGUAGGCGGCAUAGUCAGUCGGAUGUGAAAGCCCCGGGCUCAACCUGGGAACUGCAUUCGAAACUGCUAAGCUAGAGUUUGGUAGAGGGCAGUGGAAUUCCGGGUGUAGCGGUGAAAUGCGUAGAUAUCCGGAGGAACACCAGUGGCGAAGGCGACUGCCUGGACCAAAACUGACGCUGAGGUGCGAAAGCGUGGGGAGCAAACAGGAUUAGAAACCCUUGUAGUCC
rnacentral:rRNA from 1 species